rnacentral:sRNA from 1 species
UGGGAAGGGCGGUGGCCUCUGGGCUGGAUGCUGGCAAGAGGGAUCUGUGACCCAGAUGAUGAUGUCUGGUGGGAAUUGCUUUAUAGCUAAGUCAGCAAUCCUCAUGUCUUAGGCCUGGCAGGGCCAGCCUAGGCCAUUGAGUCCAGCUCCCCUUCCAGGGACAUGGCCACGCGAGUCUGCACACACACCUCCCCAGUGUAGUCACGGCCCCAGAGCUGCUCAGGCAGGGCCGUGCUGCCUAGGGAUGACUCCCCUAAACAGGGCUCACCAUCUUUCCUGGGUUCUGAUGGCUGUUGUGAGGCAGCUCAGUAAGGGACAGGGCGCAGGGCAGGGAGGGAAGGGGAAGGCUGAAUUCAGGGCUUCAGCUCACAAGAAACCACAGAAAUGGAUCCUUAGUAUCCAGGCUAAGGACACAGAACGGGGGCAGGACGGGUGGGGCGGGCCGCUGUGUCCUGGAGCCUUUGCUGGAGAGAACAGAGGGCAGGUCACACUGGACUUGUUGUCUCAGGAUGGAGCCUUCAGGGAGAAAACAUGGCACCUUGCUCCAGUAGCCACGAUACCAGGAGUGGAGGAGGGUGUCCCCGGGAUACGGGUCUUCCUCCUUGCUCUCUACCCUCUGCCCCCAGGAUCAGUGAAGUGGAGCCCAAAUACUAUGCAGAUGGGGAGGAUGCCUAUGCCAUGAAGCGGGACCUCACUCAGAUGGCCGACGAGCUGAGGCGGCACCUGGAGCUGAAAGAGAAGGGCAGGCACGUGGUGCUGGGUGCCAUCGAGAACAAGGUGGAGAGCAAAGGCAAUUCACCUCCGAGCUCAGGAGAGGCCUGUCGCGAGGAGAAGGGCCUGGCUGCCGAGGAUAGUGGUGGGGACAGCAAGGACCUCAGCGAGGUCAGCGAGACCACAGAGAGCACAGAUGUCAAGGACAGCUCAGAGGCCUCCGACUCAGCCUCCUAGAGCCUGCCCCAUCCCCUCCUCACCCCACGAGCUUUCACAAUAAAUUCGCUCCGUGGCACUGGGGAACUUCGUGUGUGAGCGUGCGCACAUUUAGAGGGUGUGUUUCUCCAGGUCCUCUGGUGGGGAUGUGAGCCUUGGCCUUUUGACCCAGAGCAUCCUG